GAAAAGCAAAUGAUAUGUGGAAAUUGGCAGUUUUUUGUUUUUGUAACGAAAUGCAAAUGGGUUUCAUCUUGUGAACAAGUAUCAAUGAAAGACAACUUCGUAUAAUCUUCAGAUAUUUUGACUGAGGACAGUGGUGAGAUGAAAGACGUCAGUAUCCAUUGUAAAUACACAUGCAUGCUCUGCUGUAAAAUCGUUUUGGUAUGUGAUUUCAUGGUUGGAUCUUGAGUACUUGUCAUGGCUCUUGAUUCAUUUUGGAGUGUUCACCAUCAGAUUAGAAAUCAAAUAGUGAUACCACCAGGCAUAGUUGAAAGGAAAUGUCCAUACACAGACUUGGAGUACAUAGUGGUAGAGACAUGGCAGUCCAUUACAGAUUUUGACUGAAUUAAAUUAGCUUCUUAAAGCUCCAUGCCUUGUGUAAACUGUCUGACUGAAUGUUUGUAUUCUAAUAAAAACUAAGGUUGAAGACACUUCAAAGAUGUAUGUCAGUGUAAAAAUGUUAAACAAAAUAUCUGUCUUUGUUAGAAAUAAAUAUCCUGUCUUUAUUAGAAAUAAAUAACCUGUCAUUUGUAACUUUGUAUUAACUUAAUUAUUCAAAGAUAAUUUAUCUUCUGCAAAUAGCUGCCCAAAACAGUUUCAACCAAGCAUCAUGUAGUUUCAAAACAGUUAAGAUAAAUUUGUUAUAAAUAGACUUGUAAAUUAACAGGAAUGGUAAAAAGAUAAAUGUUUAGCAUUAAAAUGUUUCUAUCUUGAUUGAGUUUCAUUUCAUAAUUAUUAUCACCAUGAUCACUGCAAUUGUAAAAGUAAUGUAAUCUUUAACCAUUAUUUAAAUAUCAUAAAAAUCAUCUCAAAGAAAAACUUGUUUCUGAGGCAAGAUGUGUAAAAUUCCUUCCAGUUAUAGCCUUUCACUGCUCUUAGAAAAGCCAUUAUUUGCAUUGUUCAUGGCAGGUAGUAAUACCAGAGUAAACAAUAUUAAUGCAAUUCAUCUGUGUUGAGUAUUCUGUAGCAAAACACUAGCUUGCUAGCCCUUGUAAGCCCAAGUCUCUCUCUUAAUUGGAGAAGACUUGCAAUUCUGCAUUCCUUGAAGAUUUUAGUAUCAGAGGG